UGACGGUUCGCUGUCGGUUUGUUGUUGUUUUUAUUGGCGAACCGUCUGGAGUUUAAUUAGUUUAAUCAGGUGAAUGGAGACUGUAUCUCUAUCAGCGAAAAAGUCCCUGCGUCCAGUCCCUGCGUCCAGUCCAGCCAGCUGUUAAAGGGGAAGACGUGGCAACUCUGGCAGAAACCACAUCCAAAUUCAGUGCAGGAGAUCCUACAUGCAUCACAGGGUCUGCAGGCACUGGCCCGUCUUAAUGUCCCAGAUUUUGACGGUGGAGUCUGCGUUCCCCGAGACCAGGAUGUUGUCCUUCAGCUCCAUCCCGCUGGUCAGAGACUGGUGACCUGUGAGGGUGUGAAUGCAGUUCCCCGUCUCCACGUCCCACACACGGAUCGACGUGUCCAGAGACCCGCUCACCACGUGGAUGCCGUCAAACUACAGAGAACAGUAGCAUUAACAAUCACGUUCAAUACAUACAACUUAGAGAUCAUGUCAAAAUGCAACCAGAGGACUGGUUAGGGCUUCAUAAAAAUUUGAUUCACAAAAACAUUCUCUGUUCUACUAUGAGUCAGAAUACUCCAACACUGGCUGUAAGAAAAGGAUGAAAUUACCAUGAACAAAAACACACCAAAUACUGAGGGCAAAACACAACAAAGGCCAAGUGUGUAUGAGAAUAAUUCUUAAUAAUUCUUUAAUUGCUGUGUAUUUAUCGUGUCCACACAGUCUAGUUUCCUUGGACACUCUAAAAUAAUAACAACCUUAUUUACUCCACUGCAGCGUAACUAAGGUUGUUAUUCCAAAAAAAACGUGCAAUAAAAACUCAUUAUCGAACACACAUUUACAGCGAGGUCUUGUGUUGGAGUGUUCUGUGUUGUGAAAGGGCCUAAUGAACUAACUUUCACUGUGGAGUUUAAUUAUAAUUGAUUACAGCUUUAACUAAACAUGUGAAUUAAAAGACCAACACAGUUUAACAGCACUGAUCUAAUAAGAGCAAUCAAACAGCGGGGCUGUCUAUGAAAAUAAUUCUUAUUUAAAAUGUUAAUGUAUAUUUGGACUUACCUGUGAGGUACUGGACUGAGUUUAAAGUGUUGUUGUAUGUAUUAAGACUUGCAUGGUCUAAUCUUUAGCUAUAUAUUAGUAGGCAGAUGCACCAGCUGAGUGCAAGUCUGAUCGCCGCCUAGUUUGCCCAUUGCACUCCUAAUUUUGCACACUGCUAGUUUUAAACUAAAAGUACGGGUUAGGAUGGUUUUACCUCCCACUGUACAAUCUAACUUACAUUUAUAGCUAGUGUAACUGUAAUUGUCUGCUCUGUUAUCACUUAUCUAUUUAGUCACUGUGUUCACCAAAUCAGUUGUUUAUAGCUGUGCCAAGGUCCCUGCUAAGUUUAAGGGUGCUCGGGGCAGGCUUUCACUUUUUCUUUGUGUUAAAAACAUUUAAGACAAACUUGAAGACUUAUUUAUUUGCCUUGGCGUUCGAAUUUUCUCAGAGAUGUUGUAUUGCUCGUCUUGUAUGCUAUGUCUACCUUUUUAUUCAUUUUAUUAGUCAUAUUUACUGACCAGUAGCUUAGACAAGGGUUAAUUUAGAAUUCAAAUAAUUUUAAAUGUCUAGUUUAGUUUUUUAUUGUACUUUGUUUGACACUUGGUGUCUUUAAAAAGUGCUUUAUAAAUGAAGCUGAAUCGA